rnacentral:SRP_RNA from 1 species
UAUAGGGUAUUCUCAUUCAAUAUUAAGGAUCGAACCUGGUCAGGCCUUGAUUGGAGCAGCCAUAAGAUACCUGAUAUGUGGAUGAGGAUACCCUAUGGGGA